GACGAACGCUGGCGGCGUGCCUAACACAUGCAAGUCGAACGGAACUGUUUUGAAAGAUUUCUUCGGAAUGAAUUUGAUUUAGUUUAGUGGCGGACGGGUGAGUAACGCGUGAGUAACCUGCCUUCAAGAGGGGAAUAACAUUCUGAAAAGAAUGCUAAUACCGCAUGACAUAUCGGAACCACAUGGUUUUGAUAUCAAAGAUUUUAUCGCUUGAAGAUGGACUCGCGUCCGAUUAGUUAGUUGGUGAGGUAACGGCUCACCAAGACCGCGAUCGGUAGCCGGACUGAGAGGUUGAACGGCCACAUUGGGACUGAGACACGGCCCAGACUCCUACGGGAGGCAGCAGUGGGGGAUAUUGCGCAAUGGGGGCAACCCUGACGCAGCAACGCCGCGUGAAGGAUGAAGGUUUUCGGAUUGUAAACUUCUCUUAUUAAGGACGAAAAAUGACGGUACUUAAUGAAUAAGCUCCGGCUAACUACGUG
rnacentral:rRNA from 1 species